GUCACGUCACAGACGUGCCACCGUCUUUCACACGCGCACACGCUGCCGAAUGGGUUGUCCGUGAAGCCGCGGAGAAACCUGGCCGUCGGCCGAAGGUUGUGGUCCGUCAAACGUUCGUUAUGGGCGCCGUCGCUUGUAUCGACGGCGUUGUCUCGUUGUUUGCUUUGCUGAUCGACGGCUGCGGUGGCUUCGGUCUUCGCAAGCUUUCGCGCUUCCCUUCGCAGCCUGCCGUCGAGCUAUAUCUGCUGGAUGACUAGAUUCAGCCUGUCGCUUGCGCUGGAGCGCACGCACAGACAGGCCAGUCCACCGUGUCCCAGUCGGCGCGCCAGCCAUGGGGGGACACAGCUUGGUCAGAAACUGAGAACAGCAUUCCUCAACUCUCGCAUGGGAUACGCCGCCGCCAGAAUUAUAUUCGUGGAAGGAAGUUCCUAAAUAAAAUGCGUCGCUCUCACUCACUGAUAUAUGAUUUCCUCUGCAAUGCCAGCUACAACAGCAACUGCAAGUUCAAACUUACUUCCAUCUCGUGUUACUAUACAGCAGCUGUAUUUUUGCUGUACAGUGGAAGACGACCUUCGGAAAAACGAGAUCCUGGGAACUACGCUUUCAUACAUGUGCAAGGCCACAAAAGCCCUACUGUGCUUCCUGAAGUCGACUGGACUUCACGAACGCUUGGGAACUAGUAGCGCAUGUUCAUGUUGUGCACAUUGAUGCUAACUGUCCAUUUGUUAUUUUUUCUUUGUCUUAUUAAUCCCCCUUCUCAAGUUUAGGG